GUCUUGGCCGAGCAACAUAGAGAGGAGAAGCGAGAAAAGCUUCCAACUUUUGCCUUCGUUUCUUGCCCAAAUCUUGUGAACCAACUACUUAAAUCCUAAUUCCUCCAUAAAAGUGAAUUGUUAAGCUCGGUUAAGGUUUGUGGUGGAGCCAUUUGUGAAGAGAAAUUUCUAGCUACCUUGUCUCUUGUGGUUUGUAAGGUCGUGCCGGUGAUCCGGGGCCUGCAUCGGAAGGAAAUUUGUAAACUUGUUUACUUGAACCGGAGUGGAGCAGAUAACUACAAAAAGAGGGACUUUUGGAUGCAAAUUUGGGAGACUUUGGCAGAGAGAACUUGAAGGCUUGGGCCUUUGACUUCGGUGGGGACCACGGAGGAAAGAGAAAAGGGCUUUGGUCCUUUGGUUCUUGAAGGAAAAGCAACGUACAAAGCCUAAAGAAACUAAGAAGGAAUGGGGCAGCUUGUGGC